AUUGAACGCUGGCGGCAUGCUUUACACAUGCAAGUCGAACGGUAACAGGGUGCUUGCACCGCUGACGAGUGGCGAACGGGUGAGUAAUGCGUCGGAACGUGCCGAGUAGUGGGGGAUAACGCAGCGAAAGUUGUGCUAAUACCGCAUACGUACUGAGGUAGAAAGUGGGGGACCUUCGGGCCUCACGCUAUUCGAGCGGCCGACGUCUGAUUAGCUAGUAGGUGAGGUAAAGGCUCCCCUAGGCGACGAUCAGUAGCGGGUCUGAGAGGAUGAUCAGCCACACGGGGACUGAGACACGGCCCAGACUCCUGCGGGAGGCAGCAGUGGGGAAGUUUGGACAAUGGGCGAAAGCCUGAUCCUGCCAUGCCGCGUGUCUGAAGAAGGCCUUCGGGUUGUAAAGGACUUUUGUCGGGGAGGAAAUCCCCAGCGUUAAUACCGCUGGGGGAUGGCAGUACCUGAAGAAUAAGCACCGGCUAACUACGUGCCAGCCGCCGCUGUAACAC
rnacentral:rRNA from 1 species